GGGUGCUUGCAUCUGGUGGCGAGUGGCGGACGGGUGAGUAAUACAUCGGAACGUGUCCUAAAGUGGGGGAUAACGCAUCGAAAGAUGUGCUAAUUCCGCAUAAUCUCUGAGGAGAAAAGUAGGGGAUCGAAGGACCUUAUGCUUUUGGAGCGGCCGAUGUCUGAUUAGCUAGUUGGUAGGGUAAUGGCUUACCAAGGCGACGAUCAGUAGUUGGUCUGAGAGGACGGCCAGCCACACUGGGACUGAGACACGGCCCAGACUCCUACGGGAGGCAGCAGUGGGGAAUUUUGGACAAUGGGCGCAAGCCUGAUCCAGCAAUGCCGCGUGAGUGAAGAAGGCCUUCGGGUUGUAAAGCUCUUUCAGUUGAAAAGAAAAGGUUGUGACUAAUAAUCAUAAUUCAUGACGGUAUCAACAGAAGGAGCACCGGCUAACUACGUGCCAGCAGCCGCGGUAAUACGUAGGGUGCAAGCGUUAAUCGGAAUUACUGGGCGUAAAGGGUGCGCAGGCGGUUCUGUAAGUCAGAUGUGAAAUCCCCGGGCUUAACCUGGGAACUGCGUUUGAAACUGCAGAGCUAGAGUGUAGCAGGGGGAGGUGGAAUUCCAUGUGUAGCAGUGAAAUGCGUAGAGAUAUGGAAGAACAUCGAUGGCGAAGGCAACCUCCUGGGCUGACACUGACGCUCAUGCACGAAAGCGUGGGGAGCAAACAGGAUUAGAUACCCUGGUAGUCCACGCCCUAAACUAUGUCAACUAGUUGUCGGGUCUUAUUAGACUUGGUAACGUAGCUAACGCGUGAAGUUGACCGCCUGGGGAGUACGGUCGCAAGAUUAAAACUCAAAGGAAUUGACGGGGACCCGCACAAGCGGUGGAUUAUGUGGAUUAAUUCGAUGCAACGCGAAAA
rnacentral:rRNA from 1 species